ACGAUGAAGACACGGCGGACGGCUCAGUAACACGUAGCUAACCUGCCCUCGGGACGGAGACAACUCCGGGAAACUGGAGCUAACAUCCGAUAGGUGAGAAGUCCUGGAAUGGUUUCUUGCCUAAAGGGUGCUGGAAUCAUGCUUCCAACAUCGCUCGAGGAUGGGGCUGCGGCCGAUCAGGUAGUUGGUGAGGUAACGGCUCACCAAGCCUAUAACCGGUUCGGGCCGUGAGAGCGGGAGCCCGGAGAUGGGCACUGAGACAAGGGCCCAGGCCCUACGGGGCGCAGCAGGCGCGAAAACUCCGCAAUGCGCGUAAGCGUGACGGGGCUACCCCGAGUGUCGUCCGCUGAGGAUGACUUUUCUUUGGUGUAGGGAGCCGGAGGAAUAAGGGGAGGGCAAGUCUGGUGUCAGCCGCCGCGGUAAUACCAGCUCCCCGAGUGGUGGGGAUGAUUAUUGGGCCUAAAGCGUCCGUAGCUGGCUCGGCAAGUCUCUCGUUAAAUCCAGCGACUAAUCGUUGGACUGCGGGAGAUACUGUUGGGCUUGGGGGCGGGAGAAGCCGACGGUAUUUCCGGGGUAGGGGUAAAAUCCUAUAAUCCCGGGAAGACCACCAGUGGCGUAGGCGGUCGGCUAGCACGCGCUCGACGGUGAGGGACGAAAGCUGGGGGAGCGAACCGGAUUAGAUACCCGGGUAGUCCCAGCUGUAAACGAUGCGGGCUAGGUGUUGGAGCGGCUACGAGCCGCUUCAGUGCCGCAGGGAAGCCAUUAAGCCCGCCGCCUGGGGAGUACGGCCGCAAGGCUGAAACUUAAAGGAAUUGGCGGGGGAGCACCACAAGGGGUGAAGCUUGCGGUUUAAUUGGAGUCAACGCCGGGAACCUUACCGGGGGCGACAGCAGAAUGAAAGCCAGAUUGAUGGUCUUGCUGGACGAGCUGAGAGGAGGUGCAUGGCCGUCGCCAGUUCGUGCCGUGAGGUGUCCUGUUAAGUCAGGCAACGAUCG
rnacentral:rRNA from 1 species